rnacentral:snRNA from 1 species
AGAUGUGAGGGUGAUCUGGCUGUGAUAUCUGUAACAUCACUGAUCAUCAGGGUUGAUUAGGUUGAUCUGGUUGGAUAAGCAGGUGCCCCCUUCCUUCCUCACCUAUCCAUGUGCAUUCAUUCCAAAGCUGCAUGCUCAGUGGAAGAGGACUGCAAUCCCAGAUAGGUGUGUACCAUUUUUGGAUCAAGGGUACACGAUAGCUUCGCUCUCCUGUUAGAACCUGUAAUCCUCUUGCUUCUUCAAUGUGCACUUAACAGCUCAGGCUUGGAUUUUAAAAAGUUUUCUUUCCCUAUUAAACUCCUUU